UGGUAUAUAUUCAUAAAUUGAAGAAAAUUUCGAUGUUUUUAGCGAAAUUUCGAGGUUUUAGCAAAAUUUCGAUGUUUUCGCGAAAUUUCGAUGUUUUAGCGAUAUAUCGAUGCUUACAAACAUCGAUGUUGAAAACAUCGAUGUACUCACUAUCGAUGUUUUUGCAUCCCUACGAGCCACCGGCCACCCAAAGACCUCCGUUGUAGCGGCAAACUUCGACGCCCGGAGCGACGCGCCCGCGGCCGCAGUUCAUGCGGCAGGUAGCGAAUGGCCGGAGGGAAUCGAGGAGGCACUAGAGGUGUCAAAACAUCGAUGAAAACAUCAAUGCAUCGAUGUUUUUGAAAUUUUCUAAAUCAUCGAUGUUUUUUUUCAACCAUUGAUUUUUCUGUGCCGUCACUAUUAAGAAAAAAGGCAAAGGAAAGACAAAGCUUAUGGUAACGCUUCUUAAAAAUGGAAGGCUGAGCCGUUCCAUACUAAACGUGCAUUCAGAGAACUUGUUCUGUCUCACAAUUUGGAGGGGGGCCAGAACAAGAAGAAGCUCAAAGUUUAGCCAAAUUUCGUACGCGCCUUGUUAAAUGCAAUCGCUCUGGUGAAGCCCUCAGAACCUCCCGAAAAGGCACUGCAAAAGGCAAUGAGGUGCGUUAAAAACUUAAGUGGCACAAAAAAAAGGCAACGCCGGCCCCAGAUGCUGAAGAGCCAACGACCCCGAUAACACCGGGAACC